UACAGAGGGUGCAAGCGUUAAUCGGAAUUACUGGGCGUAAAGGGCGCGCAGGCGGUCCUUCAAGUCAGAUGUGAAAGCCCCGGGCUCAACCUGGGAACUGCCUCAGAUACUGACGGUCUCGAGGGAGGUAGGGGCGAGCGGAACUGAUGGUGGAGCGGUGAAAUGCGUUGAUAUCAUCAGGAACUCCGGUGGCGAAGGCGGCUCGCUGGACCUCUUCUGACGCUGAGGCGCGAAAGCCAGGGGAGCAAACGGG
rnacentral:rRNA from 1 species